GGUUCGUUGGUGUAGUUGGUUAUCACGUCCGUCUCACAACUAUGUUGCGCACGGGAGGUCUCCGGUUCGAGCCCGGAUCGAACCA